rnacentral:rRNA from 1 species
CAAUAGCGUAUAUUAAAGUUGUUGCAGUUAAAAAGCUCGUAGUUGGAUUUCUGGUGGGAGCGAUCGGUCUGGCGCUUAGCGCGAGUACUUGCAUCGUCUCCGGCCAUCCUUGGGGAGAGUCUGUCUGGCAUUAAGUUGUCGGGCAGAGGAUCCUCAUCGUUUACUGUGAAAAAAUUAGAGUGUUCAAAGCAGGCUUAUGCCGUUGAAUAUAUUAGCAUGGAAUAAUAAGAUAGGACUUUGGUACUAUUUUGUUGGUUUGCGCACCAAAGUAAUGAUUAAUAGGGACAGUUGGGGGUAUUCGUAUUCCGUUGUCAGAGGUGAAAUUCUUGGAUUUACGGAAGACGAACCACUGCGAAAGCAUUUACCAAGGAUGUUUUCAUUAA